rnacentral:lncRNA from 7 species
AACAUAGCGGUUCAAGUUUGUUGUGAACAAAGACGUUUCUCUGUCGGGGUUGCACUCAACAUUUGUAAGUUUCUCUGUUUAAUUGUUCAUAAACAAGUUUCACUGGAAACGAUGCAAGUCCCGAUGGUUUAGCGUCACUGCUCGUACUGAAUUUCAUCCUAAGAAGAAUAUCUGCCCCUCCAAAAUGAGCAGCGCUUCUAUGUUAGUGCCCUUUGCAUGUACCUUCCUUACAGAUUCUCUUACAUUGUACGUAUGGUUCUGUUACCACACGUUUCAGCAGUGAUGACUCUUCCAGGAGGAAUUUUUUUUUUCAGUUGCUCUCAUCAGAUUUGGAAAAGAAAGAUGGCAAUUAACCUCACUCCCCUGAAAAUUAUGAGCUUCCUUCUCCCUGUUCCACCCUGAGUCUCAAAACAGGAUGCAUCUUGCUGCAUUGAAGUGACUGCCGUGGAAUGCAGAUACACCGAUCACUGUGCGUGACAGAUUCAGCUGCUCCGCUUUGCCUUGACAUGCAGUGUUGGAACCAAAGAACAGUUGGAAGAGCAAAACUGAAACUGUUCUCUGACUUUAAAAGUCUGUGUGCAUUAUGAACACUUCUGAGCAAUUUCACUUUCUCUGUGCAAAAGCUGUGGACUCUGCCUGGGAUGCAGAAAGGAUUUAAAAGGAUUCUGUGUAUUUUCAAGUUAAACCUUUGAUUUAAGCAUCAGAUACUGAAGUUUAAUGAUACACUGAACAACUGUCCUCUUACAGUGAGUGAGUCCUUUUAAAGUUUCUCUACAACGGUGUUUGUUUUGUAUGGUAAAAGUUAGUUUUCUCGAUAGCAUUUAUGUUAGCGUCCAGUUUUCUCCUUCCCCCGUGUUAGCCACGCUGUGCUCUGUAUGGCAAAUGGGCGCAGUUACUCUGCAGUUGUGCAGAGGGCUGUUGUGGUUGGAUUCAUUGUACUGGAAUUAUUUCAUUGGGUUUUUUAUCGGGUAUUUCCAGCAGCCGGGAUGUCUUUCAGAACUGCAGGCAGAUACCAGAAGCAUUUCUCUUCAGAGACUAUGAGGUGUCUUUUUCCCUUUUUUUUUGUGUGGCAAAAUAAAGUUGAUUUUUUUUU